UUUAUUUCCUCGGUGAGCACACACAAGCGAACAUGACAAUCCUCUUUAACUUCUGGAAGUAACGUUAAUGUAACUUUAUAUUUCGAAGUAACGUUAGCGUUACUGCUGCAUUUUUUUAUGAAAUACGACCGAAGCGCUGUCUCAGAGACACGUGUGAUUUUGUGAGCUUUUCGAAAGAAAGGUCAGAAAAAUCACUUGAGAAAGAGAGAGCAAGAUGCAUCAUUCUCUUUACCUGCCUCAACAUCAAAUCUUUCUCUGGUUGACUCGAGAAGGAUGUUGAAGAUGUGAAGACCUGACUGAUAAGAAAGUGGCCAAAUUUCUGUCUGAACUCUCAUUCUGGCGGCACCCGUUCACUGCAGAGGAUCCAUUGCUGAUAACUCAUCUGACUCUUGGAUGGCCUGAGGGGGAUGCGGAAGAAGCAUUUGUCUGAGACAAUUGGCAGAAGAUUGAAUUGAUUACCUGAUUAUGAAGAGACAGAGUUAUUAUUGUCAUAACUCACUCCCCAUUACAGUUCUUCGGCUCUGCAGACAGGCUAUAAAAAACAUUAUUGCUGUUAUGUGGAUAUGGUGUGUUUACCACUUCUUCUGCAGGGAAUAGCUGGCUUAGUUUAGAUAUUGUCAAGAUCAUUUUGCCCUGUGGUGAGAGAAUCCUAUUUUUACCGCAUAUUUUUGCACCCCUUGUUUUAUUUGAAUUAGAGGAAUAGUUCACCUGGGAAUGAAAAAUCCGUCAUCCUACUCACCUUCAUGUCUUUUCAUAGCCAUAUGACUUUCAUUCUUCUAAGAAAAACAAGGAAAUAUUAAUAGCAUGUUUCUGAGCUGCUAUUUUCCAUACAGUGAAUGGUGACCACCGCUGUCAAGUUCUUCAAACAGUUAUUGUAUACUAUAAUUUACUUUUUAAACUUUUUAAUCUGAAACUUAAUCAGAAAACAAAACAAAAACAAAUGUCAGUAUUUUAAUGGGUCACAGACACUUAUCCUUUCUAAUUAAAUUCUAAUUUAAAAUAAUCUUGUCUGUUAACAGUUAAUAAUUGGUGAAGAAGCAUUAGUUACUGGUUAGGAGAGAUAACCGAAAUGAACAUCCCUAGUGCAAUGACUAUAUAAACACAUCAAGGCUGUAAAACUGGAUUAGUGAGUAUUAGUUUUCCUGUUCGACAUGAUGAUGUUUAAUGUUCCUCACAAUUUUUAGUUGUCUCUUCUAGCUAUUUGUUAGCAACCACCUUUUCAAGACAUGAAAAAGAUAAAUAAAUCAGAGUGGAGUGCUUUUAUUUUACUUUUAUUGUUCUGAAACUGAUCUUGAAAAAUUGACAACAAUGUAAUUUUCUCACCUAUUCAAAAUGUUUUAUGUUCAUUUGUGUGUGUGUUUUUUUUUAAACCAGUUACACAUUAUUUUGGUAUAUUCUUGGUUUACAUAUUCAUAAAGCAAUAUAUUAUGGGUUCACAAAAGUCUGUUGAAUAUGAUAAAAAUGCUGGCAACUUCUCUGGUGGGGAAAACCAAACCAAAAACCUGUUUAAAAGCCCUAAUGAUUUUCAGAGGAUUUAUUUUUUUUAUUUUUCCGGGUGUAACUGUUAUAAGAACUGUUUUAGCUGGACUAUUUAACAAUAAUUUCUUUUUAGUCAUUUAAUUAUAUUCAUUAUUUUUUCCUUGAUUAUGAUAUACCAGUACAUCACCCUGACAUUUUUAACAUUGACUCGAAAGGAAUUUAAAUUCAGAAAUAAAAAAUAAAUAUUCUCAUCAAGUAAGAAGUGUAUGUAAGAGAUGCAUUUUUGAUUAAAUUCAUAGUUUUAGCAAAAAAAGAAUGAGCGCC